GUUGCUCAUUUCAAAGCCCCGCCCUUUUUUCUACCUGUAGGAAACAAAACCAGCCCUGUAGCACGACAUGCAGACGGGUGUGACCGCAGAACUGACUUUUGUUCUUGUUAAACCUUGAGUCUUCAUCCUGUGCAACACAGGAAACAGUCUUUCACUUUCAAGAAAGUCAGGGACUCAUGGGCAGUGUGUCCUUCCUCUAUAUUUACAUCACAGGGCUGAUCACUUCUGUUGAUCCUCAGGUCGUAUCGGCUCGACUGGGUUCCACAGCUGUCCUGCCCUGUGAACCGAGUCAUGCCUCCAAGCCGACAGUAUAUGUUCAGUGGCGCACUGAUUCUGCUGUUGUGUUUGAAAGAACGAGAAGGGAUUCAUACCAAGGUGAAAGAUAUAAGGGCCGUGUGGACGUUCCUGAGAAGCAGCUGCUUGAGGGCAACUGUUCUCUGGUGCUGAAGAACGUGUAUAUUAAUGAUGCUGGAGUUUACUACAGUUACCUGGUCAUGAAACACCGAAAGAGAUCUGUCGCUCGUUUCAUCCAGAGAGUCGAGCUUGAAGUUUAUGGUAAGUGUUUUAAUUAUAGUACAGUGUAAAAUAGCUGGCUGAAAGAAUGAAGUUUGGUGAAUCUGGAAACCUGGCGUGAGCUGUUUUAACUCGGUGACGUCCGGUGAGGACGCGGACAUUUUUAUAUCAACAUAAAUGAAAGCAGCUCUUUCCGAGUGUGAAACGGCCUUCCUCAUCUCUCACAGUGCAUUUAAUAUAAACCUGGGAUGUGCAGCUGCACUACACUCAGAGCUGCUGUUACAGUAAAUUAAUCAACAACUUCUGACCAAUCACGAUCCAGAACUCAACAGCGCUGUGGUAUCAAUUACGAUAACAUUUCCUUUUGUAGUGUGCAUUAUAUUGCACUUGUCAAGUCCAUAUUAAACUGUCAUCCAAUAAAAUCACUUGAUAUGAUAAAAUGAGAUGGACAAGUGUUCUUAACCAUUAGGAAGCCAGCGAGAGGAAGUGGGUGGAGUCAAAACAAUGCAGAGCACAGUUAGGAAGAGGAAACACUUUGAAUUAGUUUUGUUCCUGGCCUAUACAUGUUCCUGAUCUAGCCUUAUAUUUUAUAUUAAUUGUUGAAAAAUACACUAAAUUUCUUUUCUUUUUUUCCCCCUCAUCCACCCAGUUAUCGAAGAAGCUGGAACUACCUUCUCUCAGCUAUUCCUGAUCGUUUCCCUUUUAUGUUUAUUAUAUUUUCUGUUCUACACUGUAAAGAAGAAACUGUUGAUGGAAGUGAAAAUAUCAAGACAUUGUGAAGUCUGAGUUUAACUGCCGUUAUCUCAGUUAAGAUUAUCUUAUUUAACUGAUAUUUAAUUCCUGCUUCAGCCAAUUAAAACAUAAACAUGGCUAAAAUACUUAAAUACUUGAUUCUGGAAAAACAGCUGAAGCUUUGCUUUAUUCAGUCUGUAUGUAUUACAUAAUAUUUUGAAAGACAUGAAGAAAUUCAUAACGGAUUUCAUUCACAACAGGAGCUGAACAGAUGUGACUGAAUGUAUUCUCAAUUACAAUAAUCAGUUAUUGUAAAUAUUGAUUUUAUUCACUUAAAAAAAACUUGUAUUUUAAAUGUAAAAUAAAACUUUUGUACCUCUUACAUUGAUAUGUUAAAACCUAA